rnacentral:rRNA from 1 species
AGUGAACGCUGGCGGUAGGCCUAACACAUGCAAGUCGAACGGCAGCACAGUAAGAGCUUGCCCUUACGGGUGGCGAGUGGCGGACGGGUGAGGAAUACAUCGGAAUCUACUUUUUCGUGGGGGAUAACGUAGGGAAACUUACGCUAAUACCGCAUACGACCUACGGGUGAAAGCAGGGGAUCUUCGGACCUUGCGCGAUUGAAUGAGCCGAUGUCGGAUUAGCUAGUUGGCGGGGUAAAGGCCCACCAAGGCGACGAUCCGUAGCUGGUCUGAGAGGAUGAUCAGCCACACUGGAACUGAGACACGGUCCAGACUCCGACGGGAGGCAGCAGUGGGGAAUAUUGGACAAUGGGCGCAAGCCUGAUCCAGCCAUACCGCGUGGGUGAAGAAGGCCUUCGGGUGGUAAAGCCCUUUUGUUGGGAAAGAAAAGCAGCAGGUUAAUACCCCGCUGUUCUGACGGUACCCAAAGAAUAAGCACCGGCUAACUUCGU